GGGCGGGCUUGCAUUACCCAUGCAAGUCGGACGGCUGAGGCGCAAGCCUUGGCAGUGGCAGACGGCUGAGUAACACGUGAGGACCUAUCCAGUUGAGGGGGAUAGCCGCUCGAAAGAGCGGGUAAUACCGCGUAAGCAGGUCGGGCGUAGGGUCUGAUCUGGAAAGCGGGGGGCUUCGGUCACCCGUGCGAUUGGAGGGACUCGCGGCCCAUCAGGUAGUAGGUGAGGUGAAGGCUCACCUAGCCGAUGACGGGUAGCUGGUCUGAGAGGAUGGCCAGCCAGACUGGGACUGAGAGACGGCCCAGACUCCUACGGGGGGCAGCAGGGGGGGAUCUUGGUCAAUGGGGGAAACCCUGAACCAGCGACGCCGCGUGAGGGAAGAAGGUCUUUGGAUCGUAAACCUCUUUUGCCAGGGAAGAAGGGGCGAGCCGUGAGGUUUUGCUCUUGACGGUACCUGGCGAAUAAGCCCCGGCUAACUACGUGCCAGCAGCCGCGGUAAUACGUAGGGGGCGAGCGUUGUCCGGAUUUACUGGGCGUAAAGAGCGCGUAGGCGGUCUGAAGAGUCGGCUGUGAAAUCUCUGGGCCCAACCCAGAGGGGUCGGCCGAGACCUUUGGACUUGAGGGUGGUAGAGGAAGGUGGAAUUCCGGGUGUAGUGGUGAAAUGCGUAGAGAUCCGGAGGAACACCAGUGGCGAAGGCGGCCUUCUGGGCCAUACCUGACGCUGAGGCGCGAAAGCGUGGGGAGCGAACCGAAUUAGAUACUCGGGUAGUCCACGCCCUAAAC
rnacentral:rRNA from 1 species